GAAAUUUGAUUCUGGUUUUUACUUAAUUGUGACUAGCUUUAAUACAUGGUAGUUUAGCGAAGCUGUAAAUUGUGUGUUUUGUUAAGUUUAUUUUAAAUAAAUGACUUAUAUAGGCAUAUUCUUAUCAAAUGAUUUUAUGACAAGAAUAUUUACAACAUCAGUAUUUGAUAUUAAAAAAAGAAGAAAUUUCGUUUUAGGUAUAGUUAAGAAAGGCAGUAAAGUCUGUGCCAGCAACUGCGGUUAGACAGGAGCUUUAAGUUAAGUUUUUCGGUAAAAAAUAGUUAUAUAGGAUUUUUGUUGAGCUUUAACUUAUAUAAAAGUAAAAUUUGAAUAUAAGUAUUAAAGUCUAGAUAACAACGGUUAGAUAGAAUCUAUGAAACUUUUGUUUAAAACUGGGAUUAGAUACCCCAUUAUUAAAAAUUUAAAUAGCUUUACCAGGGAAUUACGAAUAAAAGUUUAAAAUCCAAAGGAUUUGGCGGUACUUUAUUUCUAUCUAGGGGAACCUGUUCUUUAAUCGAUAAUCCGCGUUUAACCUAACUUUACUAAAUAUAUUGAGUUUGUAUACUGCCGUCAUCAGCUUACGCUUAAGGGUAUAAAAGUUAGCUAAAUAAUCUUUAGUUUCUAUGUCAGGUCAAAGUGCAGCUAAUGGUAAAGUAGAAAUGGGUUACAAUUUUUAUUUAAAUUACUGUAGUCUUAUUGAAAUAUAAGAUGAGAGGAGGACUUAGAAGUAAUAAUUCUUUAGAAUAAUAAUAUGAACUAGGCUCUAAAGUGUGUACAUAUCGCCCGUCGCUCUCUUUCUAAUAAGAGAUAAGUCGUAACAUAGUAGGGGUAGCUGAAGCUGUUCCU
rnacentral:ncRNA from 1 species